UCUCGCUCACGCUCACACCGUCACAUGUCCACCGCCAACCAAUCUAGCUCCAUGCCUCCAUGCUCGACGCCCAGGUGCCCCAGCCUCCCUGGCACCGAUCUGUGGCGCCGGCGACAGACUCGCCCCUCCCCGCACCUCCCCAGCUUUGCGUGCGUCUCCCGGUGGCGAUGGGCGAAGCGAUAGGCUUGCUGCGUGUCUAGACUGGCCGUGGAUGCAGAUUCCCGCACGCCAAGGCUCUGCUGGCCACGCGCGCGCCUGCUAACGCGUAUCCCAUGCUCGUCCAGCUCUCUGCAGCGCCACCAUCCUGUCAGUGAUGUUGGUCCUCCGGCGAGGCCUCCCCUGUGGUAUGCACGGCGACGCUUGGAGGUGACACCCGGCGGCGCGCGGGCUUCCUCCUCCCCACGGCCGGUUCGUCGAUCUGGCUUGAAUGAUGGAUCUAUUCAAACCAGAUGUACAACAACAGUGUUAACAGGAGCCGCGGUGAAGGCUGCUGUGUCGAUUUGCUGAAGUGCCACUCCAUUGCAUCAUUACCACCAAGAAGAGGCACCUCAGAGAUGUUGGGCAUGAAUGCAUGCGUUAUUGAUGCCACAAAGAGCAGAGCAUGCUUGCUGAAAAAAAAUAUCCUACUUGAGCUUCAAAGCUGGUUGUUACAAGGUAAUAAUCGAAGCAACCUUAAUUCAUAGUUCGAUGAUUUGUUGCAAUCCUUCCUGUCAAUUGGUUCUGUAUGUUUUCUAAAAUUUUUCUUACCUCAUGUCCUAUUUCAAAUCAUAUAAGAAACAUUCUCUGUAUGUUCUAGAUUCAACUUUGAUGUUUUUAUUUCAUAUAUCUGGCUGAAGGUAAAUAGAUGCAUUGACCAUUGAAUAGACAAUGUCAGUAGAGGACAAGAAGCAUAGAAGCUGACCAACUCCAACAAGAAUCUGUAAGACCAUAGUACUCUUUUAAUUCAAUUCAGAGACAUUGGACAAGCAAUCAGCAGAUCAUGCACCUUCCUUCCAAUCAUCAGUGUCGUUCGAGUGUCGAAGACUGGCCGGUCCACAACAACAGUCAAUGAAGCUCGCCUUCAAGCUUAGUUUGAGGCAACACUGCAAGCUGAAAGAGAGCAAGCUGCUAGGCAUCAGGAAGAGCUACAAGCACAACUUCAAGCUCAACAGGCCUCGCUUGAAAGCAAACCAAGCAGCUCUUGAGGAAAACCAAACUUUGUUGCGCCAGACCCAAGAUGAAGUGAAGGAGAUGCAUACCAAGUUUGAAGAGACAAAUGUAGUACUGCGGGCUAUGCUGAAACAUUAGAAAGAUUGAGGUCUAGGUUUGAAUGCAACUUCUAUUUCUGAUGCCUUUUCCAGAAUAACAUCUGUGAACUUUUGUUUCACUAUGUUUGUAGAACCAAGUAUCUGAAAUUAUUUGCAUCUGCUUUUAUGUUUGUACCUGUAUGAUGGAUUUGAACCUAUGUGAUGGAACCUAGAAGUACUAGGAUGUGUUUCAACUUGCAAACACUGUGUCUUAUAGUUUGGAGUGUAUAUGUGGAUGAUGGCUUCCCUGAAAUGUGUAAGAUUUAUGAGCUAUGAUGAGAAUGAUGAUGUGUGACAUUGGUCACGAAUUGCAAUUGAUA